rnacentral:rRNA from 1 species
GUCUAUGGCCAUAACGCCCUAACGUAUCUGAUCUUGUCUGACUUUGGAAGCUAAGCAGGGUUGGGCCUGGUUAGUUCUUGGAUGGGAGAGUACCUGGAAAAAUUCCUUACUUUGGAAG